GGCUCGGUGGUGUAGUUGGUUAUCACGUCAGUCUAACACUUCGUUAGUCACACUGAAGGUCCCGAGUUCAAACCUCGGCUGAGUCA
rnacentral:tRNA from 1 species